rnacentral:rRNA from 1 species
CCUACGGGAGGCAGCAGUAGGGGAUAUUGCGCAAUGGGGGGAACCCUGAUGCAGCAACGCCGCGUGGGUGAAGGAGCGUUUCGGCGCGUAAAGCCCUGUCGGCAGGGAAGAAGGAGGGCGUUACCUAACUAAGAAGCCCCGGCUAACUACGUGCCAGCAGCCGCGGUAAUACGUAGGGGGCAAGCGUUAUCCGGAUGUACUGGGUGUAAGGGGGGCGCAGACGGCAGCGCAAGCCAGGGGGGAAAGCCCGGGGCUCAACCGCGGGCAGGCUCUUGGAACUGGGCGGCUGGAGUGCGGGAGGGGAAGGCGGAAUUCCUGGUGUAGCGGUGAAAUGCGUAGAGAUCAGGAGGAACACCGGUGGCGAAGGCGGCUUGCUGGACUGUGACUGACGUUGAGGUCCGAAAGCGUGGGGAGCAAACAGGAUUAGAUACCCUUGUAGUC